AUCGGAACACAGGUGCUGCAUGGCUGUCGUCAGCUCGUGUCGUGAGAUGUUGGGUUAAGUCCCGCAACGAGCGCAACCCUUAUCAUUAGUUGCUACGCAAGGGCACUCUAAUGAGACUGCCGGUGACAAACCGGAGGAAGGUGGGGAUGACGUCAAGUCCUCAUGGCCCUUAUGGGUAGGGCUUCACACGUCAUACAAUGGUCGGUACAGAGGGUUGCCAAGCCGCGAGGCGGAGCCAAUCCCAGAAAGCCGAUCGUAGUCCGGAUUGUUCUCUGCAACUCGAGAGCAUGAAGUCGGAAUCGCUAGUAAUCGCGGAUCAGCAUGUCGCGGUGAAUACGUUCCCGG
rnacentral:rRNA from 1 species